rnacentral:ncRNA from 1 species
AUUAUUUAAAGGCAAACUUGUUGAAAAGCAGGGACGCAAAGCCAGAAGGGGGCACCGGCAGAUUUUGGCAGGUGUCCUUUUUGUAUGCCAAA